CGGCCAUUGGCCGACUACAUUUUCCGACCACAAGAAAAGUAGUCGGAAAAUAUUUAAUAUACCGACUAAAUAUUAUUUGGUCGCUAAAUAUAUAUUUUGCCGACUACUUAAAAGUGGUCGGAAAAUUACGACUACCUAGCAGAUAAUUAGCGACUAAAAUGUGGUCGUGAAUUAAUUCAACCAAAUACCUAAACCCAAAAACCUUACCUACGACUUUUACAGACCAAAGGUAGUCGGAAUAUACCGACUAUUUUCACACUGGUCGCUAAAUUAGUGUUUUGCGACUAAAUUAUUUUGGUCGGUAUUUACCUACUACCUUUUGUAGUCGGAAAAGGUGUGGACAAAAAAAAAAACCUGAACAAAUCUUGUAAAACCCCUUUUUGGUCGGAAACUUCAAAACCCAUAACUCUACCAAAACCCAUUACUCGACCAACUAAAAAACAAAUCAUAAAAACCUAAGAUCUGGAAUAGACCAACCAUCGUCGAUUAAUUCACGUCAACCAACCAUCGUCGCCGGCCACCCACCCACCAUCGCCGGCGACCCCACGACACAACCACCGCACGACACCCGAUCGACAGGCAGCCCAAAUUCACCAAGCAACCACCGCAGACGACGCGACGCUGGCCACCCAUUAGACGACGCGACGCUGGCCACAUUCAUCAACCACCAAAGACGCGAGGCAGGCAACCACCACCUUCAUCAACCACCACCGACGCGACGCAGGCGACUCUUCAGACCACAUAUCUAGUUGCUCAAGAACCUGGUGAUGAAAAUAUACUACGAACACGUACAUAUGAUGUCAGCAUAACGUAAGAUACAAUCCCUAUUAUUAGUUUUUUGAAUCUCUGUUAGUAGUUGUUCAUUUGAUAUUUCAUGAUGAAUUAAUUAUCUGCACUAUUUUGAAAGCCUCAAACUCAGUAAGUAAAUUUUUAUAACUACUCAUAUAAAUCAUGUAAAAGGUUUAGAUUUUGAAUAUAGGAUCGUUUGUUGAUAGUUGGGAACGAAAAUGACAUUUUAAGGCAUAAAUGACCCAUAACGACCCAAAUGACCCUUAGGCGUCCAAAACGAACUUGAAAUGAGUUUUAUAAACACGUAACCACUCAUAUAAAUCAUGUAAAAGGUUAGAUUUUGAAUAUAGGAUCGUUUGUUGAUAGUUGGGAACGAAAAUGACAUUUUUAGGAAUAAAAUGACCCAUAACGACCCAAAUGACCCUUAGGCGUCCAAAACGAACUUGAAAUGAGUUUUAUAAACACGUAACCACUCAUAUAAAUCAUGUAAAAGGUUUAGAUUUUGAAUAUAGGAUCGUUUGUUGAUAGUUGGGAACGAAAAUGACAUUUUUAGGCAUAAAUGACCCAUAACGACCCAAAUGACCCUUAGGCGUCCAAAACGAACUUGAAAUGAGUUUCAAAAACAUGUAACUACAAAUAUGAAUCAUGUAAAAGGUUUAGAUUUUGAAUAUAGGUUCGUUUGUUGAUAGUUGGGAACGAAAAUGACAUUUUUAGGCAUAAAAUGACCCAUAACGACGCAAAUGACCCUUAGGAGUGCAAAACGAACUUGAAAUGAGUUUCAUAAACACGUAACCACUCAUAUAAAUCAUGUAAAAGGUUAGAUUUUGAAUAUAGGAUCGUUUGUUGAUAGUUGGGAACGAAAAUGACAUUUUCAGGAAUAAAAUGACCCAUAACGACCCAAAUGACCCUUAGGAGUGCAAAACGAACUUGAAAUGAGUUUCAUAAACACGUAACCACUCAUAUAAAUCAUGAAUAAGGUUUAGAUUUUGAAUAUAGGUUCGUUUGUUGAUAGUUGGGAACGAAAAUAGCAUUUUUAGGCAUAAAUGACCCAUAACGACCCAAAUGACCCUUAGGCGUCCAAAACGAACUUGAAAUGAGUUUCAAAAACAUGUAACUACAAAUAUGAAUCAUGUAAAAGGUUUAGAUUUUGAAUAUAGGUUCGUUUGUUGAUAGUUGGGAACGAAAAUGACUUUUUUAGGCAUAAAAUGACCCAUAACGACCCAAAUGACCCUUAGGAGUGCAAAACGAACUUGAAAUGAGUUUCAUAAACACGUAACCACUCAUAUAAAUCAUGAAUAAGGUUUAGAUUUUGAAUAUAGGAUCGUUUGUUGAUAGUUGGGAACGAAAAUGACAUUUUUAGGCAUAAAUGACCCAUAACGACCCAAAUGACCCUUAGGCGUCCAACACGAACUUGAAAUGAGUUUUAUAAACACGUAACCACUCAUAUAAAUCAUGUAAAAGGUUUAGAUUUUGAAUAUAGGAUCGUUUGUUGAUAGUUGGGAACGAAAAUGACAUUUUAAGGCAUAAAUGACCCAUAACGACCCAAAUGACCCUUAGGCGUCCAAAACGAACUUGAAAUGAGUUUUAUAAACACGUAACCACUCAUAUAAAUCAUGUAAAAGGUUAGAUUUUGAAUAUAGGAUCGUUUGUUGAUAGUUGGGAACGAAAAUGACAUUUUUAGGAAUAAAAUGACCCAUAACGACCCAAAUGACCCUUAGGCGUCCAAAACGAACUUGAAAUGAGUUUUAUAAACACGUAACCACUCAUAUAAAUCAUGUAAAAGGUUUAGAUUUUGAAUAUAGGAUCGUUUGUUGAUAGUUGGGAACGAAAAUGACAUUUUUAGGCAUAAAUGACCCAUAACGACCCAAAUGACCCUUAGGCGUCCAAAACGAACUUGAAAUGAGUUUCAAAAACAUGUAACUACAAAUAUGAAUCAUGUAAAAGGUUUAGAUUUUGAAUAUAGGUUCGUUUGUUGAUAGUUGGGAACGAAAAUGACAUUUUUAGGCAUAAAAUGACCCAUAACGACGCAAAUGACCCUUAGGAGUGCAAAACGAACUUGAAAUGAGUUUCAUAAACACGUAACCACUCAUAUAAAUCAUGAAUAAGGUUUAGAUUUUGAAUAUAGGUUCGUUUGUUGAUAGUUGGGAACGAAAAUAGCAUUUUUAGGCAUAAAUGACCCAUAACGACCCAAAUGACCCUUAGGCGUCCAAAACGAACUUGAAAUGAGUUUCAUAAACAUGUAACUACAAAUAUGAAUCAUGUAAAAGGUUUAGAUUUUGAAUAUAGGUUCGUUUGUUGAUUGAAUGCUUAUGAAGUGUUGUGCGUAAUUGUUAUGCAUGUUUGUUAAUCAUUUCAAUUCUUGUAGGAAACAUAUGAAAAGACUGUUGCUGAAUGCCGUGAAAAAGGCAUUGAAAAGGAUCCAAAUCAAAUAUUUUUUGAGACAGUUGGUGGGAGAAAGAAGGGAAAGGUCCAUGGCUUGGGGAGUGGCUCACAUUUGUAUUAUGCACCACCUUCGAGGGGAGGUGGUUCUUCUAGCUCAUACAUACCUUCCCUUUAUUCGCAAUUUCAAGAACAAUUUACUCAAAAGACCCAAGCGUUGGAGGCGACACAAGCUCAGAUACUAAGGGAGAGAGAAGAAGAGAGACUUGAGCGACAAAGGGAGAAGGAAGAGCUACAAAGGGAGAAGGAAGAGCUACAAAGGCAGAGAGAUGCAGAGCGACUAGAGCGCCAAAGGGAAAAAGAAGAAAAAGAAGAAAAUGAUAGGGUCCAAGCAAAGGUGAUUGCCGAGUUGAAAGAGGCAAUGGAGAACUAUGGAAGGAUGUUCAGUCAGUGUAGUCAAUUUCAGUCUCAGGACCGUCAAGAUCCCCCGAUGGAGGGGCAGGGCUAGAUUUUCAGUAGAUCGUGUUUUGAAUAUUGUGGUCGCCUACGGGCUAGAUUUUCAAACAUAUUUUGUAUAUAUUUAUGUAUUAACUCGUAGUAAUGCAUUAUAUAUUUCUAUCA